CGGCCCGAUCCUCCCACCCUUUGUGUACCCACCUCUGUUGCUUUGGCGGGCCGCGGUCCUCCGCGGCCGCCCUCCGUCCGGGGGGUGGCCAGCGCCCGCCAGAGGACCAUCGAACUCCGGUCAGUGAACGUUGCCGUCUGAAAAACAAUCAAUAAACUAAAACUUUCAACAACGGAUCUCUUGGUUCUGGCAUCGAUGAAGAACGCAGCGAAAUGCGAUAAGUAAUGUGAAUUGCAGAAUUCAGUGAAUCAUCGAAUCUUUGAACGCACAUUGCGCCCCUCGGUAUUCCGAGGGGCAUGCCUGUUCGAGCGUCAUUACAACCCUCAAGCUCUGCUUGGUGUUGGGCACCGCCCUUCCGCGGGCGCGCCUCAAAGACCUCGGCGGUGGCGUCUUGCCUCGAGCGUAGUAGAAAACACCUCGCUUUGGAGCGCACGGCGCCGCCCGCCGGACGAACCUUUUGAACUUUCUCAAGGUUGACCUCGGAUCA
rnacentral:rRNA from 1 species